ACCAGACUCCUACGGGAGGCAGCAGUGAGGAAUAUUGGCCAAUGGGCGAGAGCCUGAACCAGCCAAGUCGCGUGAGGGAGUACUGCCCUAUGGGUUGUAAACCUCUUUUGUCGGGGAGCAAAAGCCGGACGUGUCCGGCUGUGAGAGUACCCGAAGAAAAAGCAUCGGCUAACUCCGUGCCAGCAGCCGCGGUAAUACGGAGGAUGCGAGCGUUAUCCGGAUUUAUUGGGUUUAAAGGGGGCGUAGGCGGGAUGCAAAGUCAGCGGUAAAAGGCGGGGGCUAAACCUGCGUCCGCCGUUGAAACUGGCGUUCUUGAGUGGGCGAGAAGUAUGCGGAAUGCGUGGUGUAGCGGUGAAAUGCAUAGAUAUCACGCAGAACUCCGAUUGCGAAGGCAGCAUACCGGCGCCCAACUGACGCUGAAGCACGAAAGCGUGGGUAUCGAACAGGAUUAGAUACCCUCGUAA
rnacentral:rRNA from 1 species